UAGUGAAGGAGUUUCUUCCAAGGCCAAGGGGCAGCAGCUUAAGGAUUUCCCUUUUGGUUGGGGACCUCGGAUUUGCAUUGGCCAAAACUUUGCUAUUUUAGAAGCCAAAAUGGCAGUAGCCAUGAUCUUGCAGCGUUACUCCUUUGAGCUUUCACCAUCUUAUUCUCAUGCCCCUACCGCUGUGCUGUUUCUUCAACCCCAACACGGCGCCCACUUAAUUCUGCGCAGAUUAUAGCUAGCUACGCUUCAAAGUUCUCAUUAAUUUGUUGAUUAUGGUAUUUUAUAAACAUUGAGUGUGAAUCGAGUUUAAAGUAUAAAGAGGAUUUCUAAAAAAGGAAAACACACAAUCUUUGUGGACGGACGAAAAUAGUAAUAAACACAUGAUCUUCGUCCGAUGGAGUAUAUUUUUGUGGAAGAUGAAUAUUACAAAUUUGGAUUUUUUUAAUAUGCUUUUGGGGUUAUUUGCAAUUUAGGCUCAAUUUUUGAAACAUAACAAUAAGGACCCAACGUUAUCAUUCAUUACAUAAGUUAGUAUUUUAUAUGGUGUAAAUUUAAUAAUUUAGAAUUACAAUACAAAUGAUUUAUUUAAUAGUUUUAUUAAAAAUUUAAUUUUGCUACAAUUCUUGAAAUUAAAAUAACUAUGUAAAAAUAAAUCGUAGAAAAUGAACAUGAAUGUUUACCGUCUGAACUUGUGAGACAGAAAUCAAUUGUGUCUUAAUACAGUAUUAGCUUUUUAUAUUUGUGGACUAUUAAUUAUCAAUUAUAUUGUUGAAUUUGAAUGUGUCUAUUAAUGCACAAACUUUUAGUAAUUCAUAAAUUGCAUACAUAUUAACUUUAUUCUGGUAUUACAAUACAUAAACUUCCCAUUUGUUCUGAUUUUACACAAACUAAGAUUCUAAAAUUUCCAAAUAGAGUAAUGCAUUUUUUUUUUUUUUGGCAUUGUUUAUCUGAGUUUUACUGUUUAGAUUGUUUCUUCAAACAUUUUCAAACUCAUUGAUUUUAUUUCGAUAUUUUUUUGAUUGAUUGAUUGAUUUUGAAAUGGAUUUAAAUUUAAAUUUGAGGAUUUUAAUUAGUUUUGUGGUAAACUAAAACAAAUUGAAAAUUUAUGUAUUGUUAUACUAAAAUUAAAAUUAAGGUGUAAUUCAUGAAUUGAUUAAAAGUUUGUGUAUUUACUGGCUUACCCUUUGUUAUUAUUUUUCUGAAAUGGUAAGCAUGAUUCUUGAUGAGGUUCUAAGGUUAUAUCCACCGGUAGUCAUGGUUGGUCGGAAAACUCACAAGGAAACUACAAUCGGAGAUCUGAUCAUACCUGCCGGAGUGAACCUCCUACUGCCUUCACUUCAGGUGCACCACCACCGCCAAAUAUGGGGCGACGACGCAGACGAGUUCAUACCGGAGCGUUUUAGUGAAGGAGUUUCUUCCAAGGCCAAGGUGCAGCAGCUUAAGGAUUUCCCUUUUGGUUGGGGACCUCGGAUUUGCAUUGGCUAAAACUUUUCUAUUUUAGAAGCUAAAAUGGCAGUAGCCAUGAUCUUGCAGCGUUACUCCUUUCAGCUUUCACCAUCGUAUUCUCAUGCUCCUACCGCUGUGCUGUUUCUUCAACCCCAACACGGCG
rnacentral:lncRNA from 1 species